UUCAGUCCACUACUUUUCCUUUCUUUUAAAAAAAAAUGUAUUUUUAAAAAUAAAAUUGGCAUGAAAUAUUACAUUAGGCUCAGUUACACAACACAACGAUUCAAUAUUUGUACAUAUUUUGAAAUGGUCACCACGCUAAGUCAACAUCCCUCACUGAAUGUAGACACAGAAUCUUUUUUUCCUAUAAGAUGAAGUUUUAAGAUCUACUCUUUCCCUUCUGUGGUUAAAUAAUUAAGCAGAGUUACGGCUUUUACAACUGACUGUUUACUUGCUCAUAUUGGAGAGGUUGAAAUGGUUCCUUUGGUGAUUUGAAGGGACUGAACAACGUGCCCCAAACCGGAGGCACAUGGAGCCCGACCGCUGUGACUGGACCACGCCUGUCAUCUCAGAAGCUCCAACACACUCGAGAGAAGACCAUCCUGUGUGGACCAGAGUGGAUGCCGGUACAGAUGGGGCGCCUGAGUCCCGGCUCUGCCCCCGCCAGCUGUGGGACCCUGGACCAGUCACCCACCCUCAGUCUCUCUGCCUCCGUGUAGGGUGUAAGUGGAGACAAGGACAGUGCCACCUCCCGGGACUGCUGCCCUUGCCGCCCUCAGAAAUUAGGUGCACAAGGCGGGCUCCUCCCCAGGAGGAGGGGAGGAGGAUCAGCCUGGGAUCAGCCUGGUGGUCUUUAAGAGAGAUCCUCCCUGACUUCUCUGCCUGUCACUUCUGCUCGGAAUCCCAGUCUAGCUCACUGACCGGGCCGGAUGCGGGCCGCAGCGCUGCUUCUGGUUGUCCUGGCUCCCGUCAUGCAGGUAUCUUCCAACUUCAAGUUAAUCACUAGUGGGACUGGGGAGACUGCUUCGUUCACCUGUGAUCUUACACAAGGGGCCACCUAUAUCCACUUGUACAAACAUGAGGAGGGGACGGCCCCCCGACGCCUUCUCUACUACAACUGCUACAAGUCAAAGCCUAUGUUUGAAUCCGGAAUCAGUGGAGAAAAAUACCAUGUUUAUAAGCGCACAGAAAGGCGCUAUGCAUUUGCAAUCCUAAAUCUGAAAGAAAGUGAUUCUGGCAUAUACUACUGUGUCAUCUGGAAUAAGCACGUUGGUUCAGACUUCCUGUACCCUGCACUGGAAAUUUUGCUUGUGGCUGCGAAUCACAGCCCUGAUAUCAGCAGCUUCUUCACUUCCUCCCCAAUUUCUUUUUACUCUGAACAAAGAAAAACUCUGAACGCAAUGCCCAUGAAUCAAACUUUAUAUUCCACAGCCACCUUCUCCCUCCCCACAAUAGCCAUAGUUUUUCCUAAAAACAGACCUCCAUCUCCAGUCUGUAGGCAAGCAGUCUGGCAGGCAGCAUAUUCUCAGCUCUCCCAGAAGCUGGUAGAGUUUAUAUUAUUUUCUAUUUAG